rnacentral:rRNA from 1 species
UACGUAGGGUGCAAGCGUUGUCCGGAAUUAUUGGGCGUAAAGAGCUCGUAGGCGGUCUGUCACGUCUGCUGUGAAAACUCGGGGCUUAACCCCGGGCCUGCAGUGGGUACGGGCAGACUAGAGUGCGGUAGGGGAGACUGGAAUUCCUGGUGUAGCGGUGAAAUGCGCAGAUAUCAGGAGGAACACCGGUGGCGAAGGCGGGUCCCUGGACAACUCCUGACACUGAGGCACGAAAGCUAGGGGAGCAAACAGG